UUUGAAAUAAUAUUAAAAUCAUGUUGAAUACAUAGUUGUUAAUGGUAAUUAGACUUCAAAUCCAACAGGUUACAAAUAGUCCAAACACAUAUUUGUCUUAAAAAAACCUAAGUAAUUGCAUUUUAAUUAAAUGAAAGAGUGCUGCUGUUGGAAACAUGAUUCUAGGGACCAAAGCCAGGUGACCAUUGGACCUUCCUUGGACUUGGGCGCGCCUCAAAAUUGCUGUCUUGGAGCAGCCACCUUCCACUCCAUCAAGUCAAUUCACCUGUAACCGCAAAGAGAAAAAACAGCUUAAUUAAAAAGCACUUUUCAAAAGCGCUUAAAGAACUGAAAAACAACUAAAUAAAUUACUCAGUUUAAUGCUUUAUCCAAAAGGCUAACUUUAACAUCCAAAAAGCACGUCAAAAUUGGUCUAAAACAAGAACAAAUCAACAGAAAUCAAAUCCCACAUAAUCUGGGAUGAGACAAAUCGAAAAAGGGGAGUUUUUAAGACUUAAGAAAUUCUUCAUAAAAAGAUUGAUUAGAAGUUAACGGCAAAAAAAACACACAUGAGAUAACAGAGCAAUUUUUCAAACCCAGAAUACACAACAGCGAGAUAUUUCAAAAAAAACCCUAAAAACUAAACAGCGAACAUCAAACAUUUUUCUGAAAUCCCAGAGAUUAAGAACGUCAAACAUAACAUUAAAAAAACAGUAAAUCAUAGAAAGAGAAUACACCUUGCAAUCGAC
rnacentral:lncRNA from 1 species